rnacentral:lncRNA from 1 species
GCCCCCAAGGCUGUGGGUAUGAGGCCGGGGCCCUGCACCGGAAGGGAGGGCGGAAGCCACGGGACGUGGAGCAGAUGGUGAGGAUAGUGGGGAGGUAGCAGCAGAGGAUGACCCGAGGCAAAAGUGCAAGUGAAGAAAAGUCGCCUUGCCGGGCAGAGGUACGGGACCAAGGCGCCUCCUCUGGGCUGAGGAGUUAGAGGGAAGAAAAUGGCGCCCUGUCAUGAGGGCGCGAGGUCCGAGUUGAGGGGAGAAGACUGAGGGACACAGAAGUGGCCGAAGUGAGGGCGCUGAGGUCAGCCUGAGCUGAGAGGGCCGGCAGAUCACGCCGCAGCCGAAGUGAACGAACUCGAGUGAGGAAAUUACUCCAGGAUUUGAAUCAUCACAAGAGAUUCACCAGAGGAUUUUAUACACUUGGGCUGUGGCAGCAGACUAAUUACAUCACAGCACUAGGAUAUCACAUUGUAUUUGGUCAUCAUGACUCCUUAGUCUCCAAUCUGUGCCAGUUUUUUUGGUCUUGUCUUUCAUGGCCUUGGGGAUUUUUGAAGAAUAAUGGCCAGGUAUUUUGUAGGAUGCCCCUUAACUUAGAUUUGUCUGAUAUUGGGAUUUAUCAUGAUUAGAUUGGGAAUAUGGGUUUGGGGGAAGAAUACUGCAGAGGUGAACUGCCCUUUCCAUUGCAUCAUAUGAGGGGUGCAUGAUAUCCACGUGACUAUGAGUGCUGAUGUUAACCUUGAUCACUUGGUUAAGGUGGUGUCUGAAAGGUUUCCUAGUUACUCUUUUUCCAUACUUUAUUCUUUAGAAGCAAGACACUAAGUACAGCCCAAAAUCAAGGAGUGGAGAAUUUAUUUUAAAACUGCAUUCUACCAAUCCUUAUUUGAUACUCCCCCACCCCACUUCCAAAAGUCCACUUGGUUCCUGAGCCUUUAGAAGAUUCUGUGGUAUACAUCAGCUUAGUUUUUGGCUUUUCCUACUGUAUCCUAAGUCAUUUUUCUGUUUUCCAGUCUCCACAAUUUUGUUGCUAUUGUCUCUUUUUUCUCUCUGUGAGUUUGUGAGUUUUUUUUUUUAAUCCCUUUACUGUAGCUUAGUGGGGCUUCGGAGAGAUUAAAACUGUAUUUUUAUGUUCAAUCUGCCUUCUUUAUUUGGAAGCUCUGGGAGAAAUAUUUUUUUUUUUGAGACGGAG